rnacentral:lncRNA from 1 species
GCCAGUGUAUAGUAGCAAAAGAUGGCUGCCACAUAUUUACAUCUAAGUAGGUUGUUCAUAACUACAUAGUAGCAUAGUAUAUAUCUAAGCAGAUUGAUCAUCAGUGUAUUGUAGCAAAUGAUGGUUGCCGCAUAUUUACAUCUAAGUAGUUUGUUCAUGACUACAUAGUGAGAAAAGAUAGUUCAAAGUUGCUGAUAUAUUAUUUAUUGGAUGGAGCGAUCCUGGAGUCUUGGUAACAUUGUAGUCAUUGAAAUUGCAGCUUGAAUCAAGCUCCUUGCGUCUACAAUAGGGAACAGAGAAUAAAAGUUAAAUAUUUAUAAAAUUAAAUGGCACGCAAUAGGAUAUUACUUUCCUGAUAAAUAAGGGAAAAUGUAUUCUAGUACUUAUUGGCAAAUUGUAAGUAUGAUAAUUAGAUUUUUUAUUUGAGAACUUCUGUUUGAAGUAUUAUUGCAACAGGAAAAUUAACAGUUUUUUUUGGUAAGGAGAGACAAUAAGAUUUUUAGUUAUAUAAUAGAAAGAAAUGUGGUUUGCAAAAAACAAUAAAAGACUUGUGCAGUAGCAUAAGCUGGUACUUUCAAGUUGAUUUGAUGAACAUGCUGAUUCUUAACAUAUAAGCGGUAGUACAAUAGUUCUUAGCAUAUAUUUGUAGUGAAGAAUGUGACGACAUGAACUUGUAGUAGUAGACACUAAGCAGAAUCAGCUUCCAAGACCAUUGUGCCUGAAUAAAUUGUAGUGAUGCUAUGUACAAAGCUUAUUGUCUCAUAGACCGUUGUUGUUUAUGUAAGAAGUGAUAUAAAGAAUGGUAUAUUACUUAUGAAAGCAUGUCAAUGCUUAAUCACAAAGUUGCUAAUGAAGAUUCAUAUUAGAAAAAAUGUAGACCAACAUUAGGUAGGAAUUAUUGGAGGAAAAUAAAUUCAGGUAAGUAUGUGGCAUUGAAUAAAUGGUAACUGGAUAGCAGGGUCCAUAUUAAUAUAUGUUGCAUCAAAAUAAAGUUCUAUUAACAUGAGAUGAGGUUGUUCUUUUGGAGAAUAGGCUAGAGAAGCAUUCUUUAAAUGCUUUGGAUAUAUAUAUAUAUCAUGGUAUUCAUGUAUGAUCGGUAGAGGAGAUGUUAAAGUACUGGCGUUAGGUAGCAAGAAGAUGAGAGAUUUGUAAUGCCAUCAACAGUACUCAGAUGAAUAAAAAGGAAGUGUAAUAAGAAAGAAAUGAAAAGCAAUACUACCAUAUUUCUAGUAACAUAAUACAUAUUGUUAUUAAAUAAUUAAUAUUGAGAAGAUCUAAUUUUGCAGUUAAAAUCAUUAAUCAAUAGAGAGGGGAAGAUUAGAGCUUCCCUAUGUACAUAUUGUUAUUAUAAUUAGAUUUGUAUUUGAGCACUUUUAUUGGAAGUAUUGUUGUAAUAGAGAAAAUAACAAUUGUUUGGUAAGGAGGGACAAUAAGAUUUAUAGUUAUAUAAUAGAAGCAAAUCUGGUUUGUAAAAAACAAUCAAAGACUACUUUCAUGAGUCUAGCAUUAUCUACUUUUUUUGGCUAGUAAUUAGGUAGUGUACAUAGGUCUGAUUGUUUUGAAAGGUAUGAGCUAGAGUUGGUAGAGCAAACCUUUUUGGUGGAGAUUCAAAAGUAGCAUUUUUAGGAUUAGUGUCCUCUAAAGUGCUUUCUGGCAUAUGUUAAGUAAAAAUGAAUGUAUGUAGUAAUGUUUUUAUAGAUAGAUUCAUUUUAAUAGUACCAUCCGAGCUUUUAUUAGAGACUUACCUGUGGCGCCUUUUGUUUUGAAAAGUCAACCUUUUCCGAAGCAGAGGUUUGUGAGCUAAGAUACGUUAGCAUACGCUUGGCCUACAUGCAGCAAUUGUAAUGAUUUUUGAUAAACAACAAUACGUUAGCAUACUAUAGAUUCAAAAAAUGAAUGUCUUGUUUAGAGGUAAUGCAGCAAGCACACAUAAUGUUUAGAGUAAAUGUACAAAGCAGUAGAUAGUAAAGCACACUGUUUAUGAAAAGGAUUCUAUAAUGAAAUGUACCUUGAUGAAGCAGGUUUUUUCCCUGACCAGACAUGUAGAAGUUAAUGAAGCCCUUCUUUUCCAAACCAAAGAUAAGGAUUUACUAUAAAUUGAAAUUAACAAAACAGUAAGUAGUGAAUGUGUGGACAAAUAUGUGCU